AUUGAACGCUGGCGGCAGGCUUAACACAUGCAAGUCGAGCGAGCGGCGCGCGGGUGAGUAAUGUCUGUGAAACUGCCUGAUGGUGGGGGAGAACUACUGGAAACGGUAGCUAAUACCGCAUACCAUCAGAUGUGCCGAGAUGGGAUUAGCUAGUCGGUGGGGUAAUGGAUCACCUAGGCGACGAUCCGUAGCUGGUCUGAGAGGAUGACCAGGCACACUGGAACGGAGACACGGUCCAGACUCCUACGGGAGGCAGCAGUGGGGAAUAUUGCACAAUGGGCGCAAGCCUGAUGCAGCCAUGCCGCGUGUGUGAAGAAGGCCUUCGGGUUGUAAAGCACUUUCAGCGAGGAGGCGUUACUCGCAGAAGAAGCACCGGCUAACUCCGUGCCAGCCGCCGCGGUAAUAC
rnacentral:rRNA from 1 species